GGCCAACAUGCAAAAUGUGAUGAGCUAUUGAAUUCAAAAUUAAAUAGUUGUGUUUUCAGUACAGUGUGCAGCCAAAAUAAGAAAUUAAGUUUUAUGGAAGCUAGCAAACCUUCUAAAAUAAAACCACAUAAUUUUGCACUCAAGGAUACUGAAAUAAGAAAAUUCAUGGGAAAGUAAGAAAGAGUUCAGGGAGAAAUGAUGAAACAAGCACAA
rnacentral:lncRNA from 1 species